rnacentral:rRNA from 1 species
UUACCGAGUUUACAACUCCCAAACCCCUGUGAACAUACCUUAAUGUUGCCUCGGCGGAUCAGCCCGCGCCCCGUAAAACGGGACGGCCCGCCAGAGGACCCAAACUCUAAUGUUUCUUAUUGUAACUUCUGAGUAAAACAAACAAAUAAAUCAAAACUUUCAACAACGGAUCUCUUGGUUCUGGCAUCGAUGAAGAACGCAGCAAAAUGCGAUAAGUAAUGUGAAUUGCAGAAUUCAGUGAAUCAUCGAAUCUUUGAACGCACAUUGCGCCCGCUGGUAUUCCGGCGGGCAUGCCUGUUCGAGCGUCAUUUCAACCCUCAAGCCCCCGGGUUUGGUGUUGGGGAUCGGCUCUGCCUUCUGGCGGCGCCGCCCCCGAAAUACAUUGGCGGUCUCGCUGCAGCCUCCAUUGCGUAGUAGCUAACACCUCGCAACUGGAACGCGGCGCGGCCAUGCCGUAAAACCCCAACUUCUGAAUGUUGACCUCGGAUCAGGUAGGAAUACCCGCUGAACUUAAGCAUA